rnacentral:rRNA from 1 species
CGCGCAGGCGGCGUCGUAAGUCGGUCUUAAAAGUGCGGGGCUUAACCCCGUGAGGGACCGAAACUGCGAUGCUAGAGUAUCGGAGAGGAAAGCGGAAUUCUUAGUGUAGCGGUGAAAUGCGUAGAUAUUAGGAGGAACACCAGUGGCGAAAGCGGCUUUCUGGACGACAACUGACGCUGAGGCGCGAAAGCCAGGGGAGCAAAACG